UACGGAGGGGGCUAGCGUUGUUCGGAAUUCCUGGGCGUAAAGCGCGCGUAGGCGGACCUGCAAGUCGGGGGUGAAAGCCCGAGGCUCAACCUCGGAACUGCCUUCGAUACUGCGGGUCUCGAGUCCGGGAGAGGUGAGUGGAAUUCCUAGUGUAGAGGUGAAAUUCGUAGAUAUUAGGAAGAACACCAGUGGCGAAGGCGGCUCACUGGCUCAGUACUGACGCUGAGGCGCGAAAGCGUGGGGAGCAAACAGG
rnacentral:rRNA from 1 species